rnacentral:rRNA from 1 species
AGAUUGAACGCUGGCGGCAGGCCUAACACAUGCAUGUCGAGCGGCAGCACGGGUACUUGUACCUGGUGGCGAGCGGCGGACGGGUGAGUAAUGCCUAGGAAUCUGCCUGGUAGUGGGGGAUAACGCUCGGAAACGGACGCUAAUACCGCAUACGUCCUACGGGAGAAAGCAGGGGACCUUCGGGCCUUGCGCUAUCAGAUGAGCCUAGGUCGGAUUAGCUAGUUGGUGAGGUAAUGGCUCACCAAGGCGACGAUCCGUAACUGGUCUGAGAGGAUGAUCAGUCACACUGGAACUGAGACACGGUCCAGACUCCUACGGGAGGCAGCAGUGGGGAAUAUUGGACAAUGGGCGAAAGCCUGAUCCAGCCAUGCCGCGUGUGUGAAGAAGUCUUCGGAUUGUAAAGCACUUUAAGUUGGAGGAAGGCAUUACCUAAUACGUAAGUGUUUGACGUUACCGACAGAAUAAGCAACCGGCUAACUCUAGUG